rnacentral:rRNA from 3 species
GGGUUGUGAGGUUAAGCGACUAAGCGUACACGGUGGAUGCCCUGGCAGUCAGAGGCGAUGAAGGGCGUGCUAAUCUGCGAUAAGCGCCGGUAAGGUGAUAUGAACCGUUAUAACCGGCGAUACCCGAAUGGGGAAACCCAGUGUGACUCGUCACACUAUCAUUAACUGAAUCCAUAGGUUAAUGAGGCGAACCGGGGGAACUGAAACAUCUAAGUACCCCGAGGAAAAGAAAUCAACCGAGAUUCCCCCAGUAGCGGCGAGCGAACGGGGAGGAGCCCAGAGCCUGAAUCAGCAUGUGUGUUAGUGGAAGCGUCUGGAAAGGCGCGCGAUACAGGGUGACAGCCCCGUACACAAAAGCGCAUGUGCUGUGAGCUCGAUGAGUAGGGCGGGACACGUGGUAUCCUGUCUGAAUAUGGGGGGACCAUCCUCCAAGGCUAAAUACUCCUGACUGACCGAUAGUGAACCAGUACCGUGAGGGAAAGGCGAAAAGAACCCCGGCGAGGGGAGUGAAAAAGAACCUGAAACCGUGUACGUACAAGCAGUGGGAGCACAGGUUUACCUGUGUGACUGCGUACCUUUUGUAUAAUGGGUCAGCGACUUAUAUUCUGUAGCAAGGUUAACCGAAUAGGGGAGCCGGAGGGAAACCGAGUCUUAACCGGGCGUUAAGUUGCAGGGUAUAGACCCGAAACCCGGUGAUCUAGCCAUGGGCAGGUUGAAGGUUGGGUAACACUAACUGGAGGACCGAACCGACUAAUGUUGAAAAAUUAGCGGAUGACCUGUGGCUGGGGGUGAAAGGCCAAUCAAACCGGGAGAUAGCUGGUUCUCCCCGAAAGCUAUUUAGGUAGCGCCUCGUGAAUUCAUCUCCGGGGGUAGAGCACUGUUUCGGCUAGGGGGCCAUCCCGGCUUACCAACCCGAUGCAAACUGCGAAUACCGGAGAAUGUUAUCACGGGAGACACACGGCGGGUGCUAACGUCCGUCGUGAAGAGGGAAACAACCCAGACCGCCAGCUAAGGUCCCAAAGUCAUGGUUAAGUGGGAAACGAUGUGGGAAGGCCCAGACAGCCAGGAUGUUGGCUUAGAAGCAGCCAUCAUUUAAAGAAAGCGUAAUAGCUCACUGGUCGAGUCGGCCUGCGCGGAAGAUGUAACGGGGCUAAACCAUGCACCGAAGCUGCGGCAGCGA